UCUCAAUGAUGAUGAACAGAUGUUAAGAGUCAGAUGUAAUCUAUUAUACUAAACCGUGUGGAAUAAUGAGGCAUUUGUCUCGGAGAA